rnacentral:lncRNA from 1 species
UUUUCUAGCCAUCUUAUAUUAGUCACAUUCACAAGAAAAAUACUUUAGUGCCACUUUCCCAUCAUGGUAAGUGGUAACCAAAAAAGUCUUCAAAGUUCAAAACCUUAAAAAGAUACAUAAAUAUAUAUAUCAAAAGAAAAAACCUGAAAAAAAAAAGUUAUUUAUUCCAAUUUUGGUUACUCUCCCAAUAAUUGUCUCCUCGUUACCUGCUAGAGCCGGUUGGUAAACCAACCACUGUGUCUUUUUCUUUUAAAUUCAGAAUUAGUUUUUUUUUGUGUGUGUCAAUUUUGUUGAUAAUGUAAAAAAUCUAAUCCGGCCAAUAAUAAUCUGCCACGUAGUGGAUAUGCCAUCGUAUAAGGAUCCAAUCCAACGGACAAAUAUAUAUUUUUAUUUCUUCUUCUACCGCAAAAGACCUUUGAUGCGACUGGUUGGUA